UUAGUACGAUAAAGUAACACCGUG
rnacentral:siRNA from 1 species